AUGUGCAUUUGCUGGUUCAGUGUGGACUCAGGCCCAGCAGCAGCCCGGGAGCGCCUGCUCUCUCCUGACUGCCUUCCCCUGCAGAGGGAACGCUGGCUUGCUCGUGCAGUGAGAAACCGGCCUUGGGAAAAAAUGGAGAAAAAUAGGACACCUUGCCCAGUCAAGCAGACCCCUAAUCAGACAUCUGGAUGGAGGGCUUGUGUAAUCAGAUUUUUUAUAAAAAGAUUUUCAGAAGGAAAUGAUGUUUUUACUCAAUAUCUAGUGGGAAUUUGCCUUUCAACACAUUCCUUUAUAUAAAAGAAAAAAAGUCAAUGAAGCACUCAGUGAUGGCAUUAGCUCGAUUUUAUGUUUGGAAACUUCACUGCACCCAAGUGAGAAAAUACAGAAUUAAGGUUCUCACUGCAACAAUACUUGAGCCCAGGAACAAGGAGAGAGUUUGUCAUCAACGUUGGGACUGUGACGUGAGCGCUGAAACCUCGCCGCCGGGGAAACUGCCUGCAGCUCUAUUGCGCUUCUCCGCCCUUGCUUGAAGAACAGCUUGCUUUAGAAAGCAGGGUCUUUAUCUUGAGAGUUAUACCCGGGUGUGUAUCUUGCAUGGCACCAACUGGAGGGUUGGCUGAAGUAACUAUUUGUUCCAUGUCCUUUUACUGGUAGGCAGGCAUAUAAAUAGUAUCUAAAAUAAUUUUAUCUUGGCCGGCGCCAUGGCUCACUAGGCUAAUCCUCCGCCUUGUGGCGCCGGCACACCGGGUUCUAGUCCCCGUCGGGGCGCCGGAUUCUGUCCCGGUUGCCCCUCUUCCACACCAGCUCUCUGUUGUGGCCAGGGAGUGCAGUGGAGGAUGGCCCAGGUGCUUGGGCCCUGCACCCCAUGGGAGACCAGGAAAAGCACCUGGCUCCUGCUACCGGAUCAGCGCGGUGCGCCGGCCGCAGCGGCCAUUGGAGGGUGAACCAACGGCAAAGGAAGACCUUUCUCUCUGUCUCUCUCUCUCACUGUCCACUCUGCCUGUCAAAAAAAAAAAAAAUUUUUUUUAUCUUUGUCCCCUGCCGUGGUACACCCAUCAGUUCAGCCAGAGUGUGUAGAGGUGGCGGCUUAGACCCUGUGGCGCUGCCCCCAACCUUGCUUGGUUCCCCGUGCCUAUGAAUGGCAAGAGAAAUCUCUGACUGCCUGAGACGUGGAUCCUGGCCUGUUUCCUGUCCUUCACAGUGUCUGGAGCCUUGGCCAUGCACAGCAUUGCUUCUCCAUGCACAAAUCAGACCUGAGGAUCCCAGGCUCCUCUCUUUUCUGCAGGAACAUCUCCUG
rnacentral:lncRNA from 1 species